GUCGACUAUGUGGUGUAGUUGGCUAGAGCGCGCGAUGGCAAUUGUCAAUCGUAGCUGUGGGUUCGAAUCCCAUCACCGGCA